UACGUAGGUGGCAAGCGUUAUCCGGAUUUAUUGGGCGUAAAGAGAACGCAGGCGGUCUUUUAAGUCUGAUGUGAAAGCCUUCGGCUUAACCGGAGUAGUGCAUUGGAAACUGGGAGACUUGAGUGCAGAAGAGGAGGGUGGAACUCCAUGUGUAGCGGUGAAAUGCGUAGAUAUAUGGAAGAACACCAGUGGCGAAAGCGGCUCUCUGGUCUGUAACUGACGCUGAGGUUCGAAAGCGUGGGGAGCAAACAGG
rnacentral:rRNA from 1 species